CAGCCACUAGAGGGCCUCAGUCACAUUUUGGCUUCAGUUCUCAACCCCUGAUAUGAUGUACACCCAUUUAUGAGAAUUAGACCACACACACACAGUACAUGUUAUACUUUCUGUAGUAGAUCUUUCCCGUGGCUGGAGCGUCCUGACUGAAGACUGUUGAGAGCAGCUAGAGAUUCUGGUUAAAUCAAUGUCAGGAAAUGGGAAAAAACGAUGGCAUUAAUUUUGUCCUAGAGGCAGAAAAAAGGACUUACUGGAAGUAGAGAGUACCUUGGACUUUUUGGCCAAUUUUUUCCUGCCUCUGAGUACCCCAGCCAUCCACAACCUCAUAAUUUGUAACAGGAAAAAGAAUGAAACAAACUGGUGGUGGGAUCCACCCACCUGAAGAACUGACCCUGAGCAAAAAUCAGGCCUGUACUUCAAUAGAGGGCAUAGCUGGGAGUACCUCUACUGACCCAGGAAUACAGUCACAGCCUUCCUUCCAACCUGGGACUUCCAUCAGUAGGUGUACCUAGGUGACCACAGAGAAAAGACAAGGUCAGUGAAAUAAAAAUAAUUGUACAAAUGAAGAUUGUGUUCACUGAUUAAUAUGGUGUUUGAAUAUAACAUAAAUUAAUUAGCAACGAAAGAUUUUUUUCAGAUACACUGGUGGGACUAAUCAUGCCUACUGUACAAGCCAUGGUUAUGUCACAUGCCUUGGCUGGUUCUACUCUAGUCUUACACAGUUGAACUGUGACAUGUGAAUCCCAAAGUUAAUUUCUACCCUGUUUUUGCUUGAGCCACAUUAAAUCAACUCUGAGGUCCAGGCAGUAGGUCUGGAUAUGGAUUCAUCAGGUACUGUCUCUGUCUCCAAGGAGCAGCACAUUAAAAUGACUUACAAUGCAGAAUAUACAGGAACAUUUUAAGGAGAUCUUUUUAAUGCAAGACCUUAAACAAUAAUCAAGGAACUACCUCAAGUUGACUCGAUUUUGCAACUUGUAAUUAACAACCUCCACCCAGUAAAAGCCAAAGAAAACGCCUCUCAGCUUGAAAUUCCUACUCAUCAACGUGGGGUCGUCUUCUCAACUAUGAGUUCCUUCCCUGAUUACAGAGUGCUGUCAAAUCAACAUGGCUGCUCAUAGCAUCAGAAAUAAACAAAGUACACUUCUUACCUUAAAAUAGAGUUAUACUGUAUGUACAAGUAUUUGCUUUAGAUCAAUCAACACACAGACACAUUAGCUUGUUAAAUCUAUAACACUGACAAUACAGUUCACUGUUUGAGGAGGACAAUAUACAUCACUCAUUACAGUUAGCUGGCUAGCUUGUUGCUAACAAAAGACGAAUGUGGAGGCUUCCAUGUUUUUUUCCCACCUCGUCUGUCGAAUGCGCCAAAGAAAAAAAUUUACGUCAUUUCGACCUGUGAAUUGUCACUUAUGAGGUAAUUUGAAUGCAGCAAUAUGCUUUAUGCCAAACCUGCUCCGUGCCUGGUUAGUUUUGAAGUUAACUCGCUUCAUGCAAUACCACCCGCAGAUACCAGAGCAAUUAUUUUCCCUCAAAAAAUACCUUGUGUUGUGUGUAAAUGUUGACUGCUGUUUACCAGUAUGUUUUCACUUGGUACAUUACAUUAGCUACUUUUCCUUAUAUUGUUUUGAUUAACCUGAUGGAUUAGCCAAUGUCAGCUAGCUAGGAAAUGGUAGCUCAGUCCGCCAUUACAAUAUAACAUCUUGUACCUUGAGGCAUAGUGAGUCAAGUAGAGACAUGCUAGAGGGUUGAAGAGUGCAUGGUUCAGAGUAAGUGCCUUCAGGUAGUUAGGGGCCGGUCUGUUUUUGGCUUUGCAGGUAAGCAUCAGUGUUUAAAAUCUGAUGCAGGCAGCAACAGGAAGCUAGAGGAGGGGAUGCAGAAAUGGGAUGAUACAAAUCUUGCAAUAGGCAAUAUUAAAAAUAAAUUAAAUUUGCUUGAUUGUGGGUUUAGUGUAGUAGGACUCGGUCAA